rnacentral:rRNA from 1 species
GACGAACGCUGGCGGCGUGCUUAACACAUGCAAGUCGGGCGAGGCCCCUCCUUCGGGAGGGUGUCCUAGCGGCGAACGGGUGAGUAACACGUGGGCAACCUGCCCUCAGCUCUGGGAUAACUCCGGGAAACCGGGGCUAAUACCGGAUACGACCUCCACGGGCAUCUGCGGAGGUGGAAAGUUUUUCGGCUGAGGAUGGGCCCGCGGCCUAUCAGCUAGUUGGUGGGGUAGUGGCCCACCAAGGCGACGACGGGUAGCCGGCCUGAGAGGGCGACCGGCCACACUGGGACUGAGACACGGCCCAGACUCCUACGGGAGGCAGCAGUGGGGAAUAUUGCGCAAUGGGCGAAAGCCUGACGCAGCGACGCCGCGUGAGGGACGAAGGCCUUCGGGUUGUAAACCUCUUUCAGCAGGGACGAAGCGAAAGUGACGGUACCUGCAGAAGAAGCACCGGCCAACUACGUG